CCACUCCCCAGCUGUGAAAGGAGGAGCUCUACGGUGACUUUGAAGACUUGGAAACAGGGGACAUGCACAAGGGAAAAUCGGGCCCCGACACUCAGAAUGAAGAUAUAGAGAAACAAGGAAGAAAUUGACCCCGACGAAGAAGAAAGUGCCAAGAAAAAGCAUUUGGAUAAGAAGAGAAAAUUGAAGGAGAUGUUUGAUGCGGAAUAUGAUGAAGGAGAAAGCACAUAUUUUGAUGAUCUUAAAGGAGAAAUGCAGAAAGAAGCACAGAGAGAAGCAGAGAAAUGAAGCAGUUUUUGGUGGAAGAAGUGGAAUCAAAAGGUUUUGAGCUGAAUCACGUAGAAUUUGAAGAUCAAGAUGAUGAAGCCAGAGUUCAGUAUGAUGGUUUUCGACCUGGGAUGUACGUCCGCGUUGAGAUUGAAAAUGUUCCCUGUGAAUUUGUGCAGAACUUUGACCCCCAUUACCCCAUUAUCCUGGGUGGCUUGGGCAACAGCGAGGGAAAUGUUGGACACGUGCAGAUGCGUCUGAAGAAACAUCGCUGGUAUAAGAAAAUCCUCAAGUCCCAAGAUCCAAUCAUAUUUUCUGUAGGGUGGAGGAGGUUUCAGACCAUCCUGCUCUAUUAUAUUGAAGACCACAAUGGAAGACAAAGGCUUCUAAAGUAUACCCCACAGCACAUGCAUUGUGGAGCAGCCUUUUGGGACCCUAUCACUCCACAGGGAACUGGUUUCUUGGCAAUACAGUCUGUCAGUGGCAUAAUGCCUGAUUUUCGGAUAGCUGCCACAGGAGUUGUCCUUGAUCUGGAUAAAUCCAUAAAAAUUGUGAAGAAAUUAAAGCUAACUGGUUUUCCAUAUAAAAUUUUCAAGAACACUUCAUUUAUUAAGAUAUUGUCUUCAUGCGAACUUGGUAUCCUGUUUCCAUCCCAGCCUUCUAUAACCCAGUAACAUCUUUGUUGAAACCAGUGGGUGAGAAAGACACCUGGUCAGGAAUGUGGACCACGGGCCACCUCGGGCUCGCCCAUGGUGUCAGACUAAAGACAAACAAGGACUCUCUGUAUAAGGUACUGGUCGUGUGUGUGUUAGUGGAGAUGAAGCCUGUGCCCUACAGACAGGGAGUCACGCAGACACUUUUCUAUAAUUUCUUACGUACUUUGAAUGUUCAAGUAUAAAGUCUAAUGUUAAAUUUGAUUGAACAAUUGUAUAUUUGUGGGAUAUUUUGGAAUGGAACACCAAAAAAUGGUAAUAGUGGUUCUUUCUGGAUUGAAGACAAACUUUUCUUUUUUAAAAUAAAUUUUAUUUUAUAUAUUUGAGGUUGACAACAUGAUCUUAAAGGAUAAAUAUAGAUAGUAAACUGGUUACUAUAGUGAAGCAAAUUAACAUAGCUACCAUCUCACAUAGUUAGAUUUUUGUUUGUGUGACAGGAACAGCUAAAAUCUACUUAUUUAACAAAAAUCCCAAAGACAAUAUAUUUUUAUUAACUAUAGCCCUCAUGAUGUACACUAGAUCUCUAACUUGUUCAUCCUACAUGUCUGCUACUUUGUAUUAUUUUAAUGUACAUCUCCCCAUUUCCUACUGGUCAUUUCCUAUUUGGCCCAUUUUUCAACUGGGUUGUUUUUCUGCUAUUAAGUUGUAAGAGUUCUUUACUGAUUUUUGGAUAUUAACACUUUAUCAGAUAUGUGGUUUGCAAAUAUUUCUUCCAGUCUAUAGGUUCCCCUUUCAUUUUGUUGGUUGUUCCUUUGCUGUGCAGAAGCUUUUUAGUUUGAUGCAGUCCUCCUUGUUUAUGUUUACAUUUGUAGCCUGGCUUGUGGUGCGAUAUCCAAAAAA
rnacentral:lncRNA from 1 species